UAGGGAAUCUUCCGCAAUGGGCGAAAGCCUGACGGAGCAACGCCGCGUGAGUGAUGAAGGUCUUCGGAUCGUAAAACUCUGUUAUUAGGGAAGAACAAAUGUGUAAGUAACUAUGCACGUCUUGACGGUACCUAAUCAGAAAGCCACGGCUAACUACGUGCCAGCAGCCGCGGUAAUACGUAGGUGGCAAGCGUUAUCCGGAAUUAUUGGGCGUAAAGCGCGCGUAGGCGGUUUUUUAAGUCUGAUGUGAAAGCCCACGGCUCAACCGUGGAGGGUCAUUGGAAACUGGAAAACUUGAGUGCAGAAGAGGAAAGUGUAAUUCCAUGUGUAGCGGUGAAAUGCGCAGAGAUAUGGAGGAACACCAGUGGCGAAGGCGACUUUCUGGUCUGUAACUGACGCUGAUGUGCGAAAGCGUGGGGAUCAAACAGG
rnacentral:rRNA from 2 species